rnacentral:lncRNA from 1 species
AAAACAACAUGAGUUUCAUGAACGUUGUGGAUUGCUUGAAGUAGAGAACAUGAAACUCAAAGAUUGUUUUGUAAGAAAAAGUUUUAGACGAAGAUGAUUUAGCCCUUACAGUACACAAAACUAGUUUAGUUUUGCUCUGCAAUGCUUUCAUUAGUGUCUUAUGAUUAUGGUUUUGAAUAUAUGAACAAGUGAGGUUACAAAAUUGCUUACAAAGAUAUCAAGAUUAGAGAACAAAGAACGGAAACUUAGUAUGAGAGGAUAAGUGUAAAGAUAAUCCAAAAACUAGACUCUGCAAUCUUCACGGAUAGAAUAGAACGUUGUGCCUUUCAACUU